UACGUAGGGCGCAAGUGUUGUCCGGAAUUAUUGGGCGUAAAGAGCUCGUAGGUGGCUUGUCACGUCGGGUGUGAAAGCUUGGGGCUUAACUCCAGGUCUGCAUUCGAUACGGGCUGGCUAGAGGUAGGUAGGGGGAGAACGGAAUUCCUGGUGUAGCGGUGAAAUGCGUAGAUAUCAGGAGGAACACCGGUGGCGAAGGCGGUUCUCUGGGCCUUACCUGACGCUGAGGAGCGAAAGCGUGGGGAGCGAACAGG
rnacentral:rRNA from 1 species